AGAUAAUAACACAGUUUGGAAAGUAGGAGGAUAACAAACACAGUGGGUUUGAAGGACUUGCUUGGAGCCUUGGGCAGAUGUCCUGAUCCUUCACUAGGCAUACCACCCACAGCUCUCUCAGCCUCGUUAGCCUGCGUGUGCCAAAUAAAUAAAAUAGAACCGCGUGCUAUGAGGCUACGUGACCCUUCAUCACCCAUAUUUGUUGAGCACGCGCUCUGCACCCAGGACAGCGCGUCGCUCCGGCUCUUCGCCGAGAAACGCUCUCAGCUGGUGGCAAUCUAUCGUUAGAUUUAGUAAAAUGUUUAGAGGGACUUAACAUCCGCGUGACAGAGAACGAAGAAAGACGGAGAGGGACAGAACUUAGAUUUGGAAAGAGCAGCUAAAAUGGUUAAUAAAAUAAUAAAGCAAAUUACAAGGCUCUGGACAGUACGCGUCCAGACAACACUUGUCUUGGUAAAGAGAUUUACAUGUUACGUAAAGAAUGAGAAUUUCCAGGAUAUAUUUUCCAGCAUGGCAAUAGGAAGAGGAUUAGAUUUGGAGGGUAUAGGUUUUUUCCUUAAGGGGCCAUCCCGGCGCUUCCGAGAAUUUGCUUCAAUUUCAGGAAAUAGAUUCAGGGACCAGGACUCAGAACAAGAACAAAGUGGGUGUGGCUUAGACGCAAUACUCUAUCCCCUACUGGUUAGAGGAAUUAAGUGCAGA
rnacentral:lncRNA from 1 species